rnacentral:rRNA from 1 species
GAUACAUUUUCUGCCACCGAAUACAUUAGCAUGGGAUAAUGGAAUAGGACCCUGUCCUCCUAUUUUCAGUUGGUUUUGGCAGCGCGAGGACUAGGGUAAUGAUUAAUAGGGAUAGUUGGGGGCAUUAAUAUUUAAUUGUCAGAGGUGAAAUUCUUGGAUUUAUGAAAGAUUAACUUCUGCGAAAGCAUCUGCCAAGGAUGUUUUCAUUAAUCAAGAACGAAAGUUAGGGGAUCGAAGACGAUCAGAUACCGUCGUAGUCUUAACCAUAAACGAUGCCGACCAGCGAUUAGGAGACGUUGAAUACAAAACACCACCAUCGGCGCGGUCGUCCUUGGCGUCUCUGUCCCUUUCAACGGGGGCAGGCGCGAGGGCGGUUUAGCCCGGUGGCACCGGUG